GAUGAACGCUGGCGGCGUGCCUAAUACAUGCAAGUCGAGCGAACGGACGAGAAGCUUGCUUCUCUGAUGUUAGCGGCGGACGGGUGAGUAACACGUGGAUAACCUACCUAUAAGACUGGGAUAACUUCGGGAAACCGGAGCUAAUACCGGAUAAUAUUUUGAACCGCGUGGUUCAAAAGUGAAAGACGGUCUUGCUGUCACUUAUAGAUGGAUCCGCGCUGCAUUAGCUAGUUGGUAAGGUAACGGCUUACCAAGGCAACGAUGCAUAGCCGACCUGAGAGGGUGAUCGGCCACACUGGAACUGAGACACGGUCCAGACUCCUACGGGAGGCAGCAGUAGGGAAUCUUCCGCAAUGGGCGAAAGCCUGACGGAGCAACGCCGCGUGAGUGAUGAAGAUCUUCGGAUCGUAAAACUCUGUUAUUAGGGAAGAACAUAUGUGUAAGUAACUGUGCACAUCUUGACGGUACCUAAUCAGAAAGCCACGGCUAACUACGUGCCAGCAGCCGCGGUAAUACGUAGGUGGCAAGCGUUAUCCGGAAUUAUUGGGCGUAAAGCGCGCGUAGGCGGUUUUUUAAGUCUGAUGUGAAAGCCCACGGCUCAACCGUGGAGGGUCAUUGGAAACUGGAAAACUUGAGUGCAGAAGAGGAAAGUGAAAUUCCAUGUGUAGCGGUGAAAUGCGCAGAGAUAUGGAGGAACACCAGUGGCGAAGGCGACUUUCUGGUCUGUAACUGACGCUGAUGUGCGAAAGCGUGGGGAUCAAACAGGAUUAGAU
rnacentral:rRNA from 1 species